GAAUUCUUUCCACCGGUGUUUUUGUUAGAUCUCACGACACUGCAUCUGUUGUUGACAGAACGCACCACUUGUGGCUGCUAUAUUUUCUCCCUCAUACAUGGCAUCAAUGGUGUGUCUGCCUGAUCCUGCAACAAGUGUUCACUCUUUGAUGAGUCUUCUAAUCUGCAAUUUAUGCCUGGUCCAUCUUCAUGCUGCACAUGGUACUUUGACAUGGGCAUCAGCCUGAUAGGAAUCCACUCCAAUUUUAUUCAAGCUUGCUAGGUUGCCAGACGAUGGGUGCCAAAAUUUCUUAUAUCUCAUAAAUUUGGAAGUCUUGAGAAGGGUGGUUGAUACAUGUCUUCACACUUUUCAGAGCAACGUGCAGUGGAAGAAGCAGCCUAUGAACUGAAAUAGUUUGCAUAAGAAACAGGCGAUGCGAUGCACAAAAUCAUUGGAGUGAACAUAUGAGAAUUUGACCAUUCAUUUUCAGGUACUCAACCAUCUACUGCGCAUGGAUGUGAUACUUCGGAGUGUUCGGCAGCAUUUGGCUGUUUGCAGUAUUUUGGACCAGCCAACUUGCGAUCAUGAAUCUUAUGUCUGUUCUGGACUAUUUGGUGCUUCAAGUGAUUUGGAGCAUAUAUCUUGUGCUCAUGGGUGUGACUUUGUUCUGGACCAUUUAGUGCUUGAACUCCUUUAGAACAACAGAUAGUGGUCCUUUUAUGUGGCUUGUGUUUUCUAGAUGGUGGUCCAAAUGGCCAAACUUUGCUUUGUCAAGAUUGUCCUAUUUUUGAACUUAUGAUCAAUAUAUGUAUGUUUGUGAACAUAUUAUCAAUGCUUGUGCAAUAUGUGUUCAUCUUGAUCCUGUUUGUGUA